rnacentral:rRNA from 1 species
GAUGAACGCUGGCGGCGUGCCUAAUAUAUGCAAGUCGAGCGAACAGAUGAGGAGCUUGCUCCUCUGACGUUAGCGGCGGACGGGUGAGUAACACGUGGAUAACCUACCUAUAAGACUGGGAUAACUUCGGGAAACCGGAGCUAAUACCGGAUAAUAUAUUGAACCGCAUGGUUCAAUAGUGAAAGACGGUUUUGCUGUCACUUAUAGAUGGAUCCGCGCCGCAUUAGCUAGUUGGUAAGGUAACGGCUUACCAAGGCAACGAUGCGUAGCCGACCUGAGAGGGUGAUCGGCCACACUGGAACUGAGACACGGUCCAGACUCCUACGGGAGGCAGCAGUAGGGAAUCUUCCGCAAUGGGCGAAAGCCUGACGGAGCAACGCCGCGUGAGUGAUGAAGGUCUUCGGAUCGUAAAACUCUGUUAUUAGGGAAGAACAAAUGUGUAAGUAACUAUGCACGUCUUGACGGUACCUAAUCAGAAAGCCACGGCUAACUACGUG